rnacentral:rRNA from 1 species
CAGUCGCCACGGUAAUACAGAGGGUGCGAGCGUUAAUCGGAUUUACUGGGCGUAAAGCGUGCGUAGGCGGCUUCUUAAGUCGGAUGUGAAAUCCCUGAGCUUAACUUAGGAAUUGCAUUCGAUACUGGGAAGCUAAAGUAUGGGAGAGGAUGGUAGAAUUCCAGGUGUAGCGGUGAAAUGCGUAGAGAUCUGGAGGAAUACCGAUGGCGAAGGCAGCCAUCUGGCCUAAUACUGACGCUGAGGUACGAAAGCAUGGGGAGCAAACAGGAUUAGAUACCCCAGUAGUCCCUGUCUCUUAUAC